rnacentral:lncRNA from 1 species
ACAUUCCACAUCCUCUCCAACUGAGAAAUGCACAUAACAUGAAUAACAGCUCUAUAUCCAAACCACACUCAGAAGAAUCAAAAUAUGCUCGCACUAUCUCUACCUUAUUACCUCUCUGCCAUUAACACCUGAGCCAAAUGAAAAUGGUGAAAGAGGUGAAUUCAACUAUAAUAUUAAGUCCUAAAAAGGGAAACUAAUAAUAAAAAUUAGGGCUCAUUUCACUUGAUUUAAU